rnacentral:rRNA from 1 species
CGUCAAGUCCUCAUGGCCCUUAUGGGCAGGGCUACACACGUGCUACAAUGGCCGGUACAGAGGGUUGCCAACGCGCAAGCGGGAGCUAAUCUCAGAAAGCCGAUCGUAGUCCGGAUUGGAGUCUGCAACUCGACUCCAUGAAGUCGGAAUCGCUAGUAAUCGCGGAUCAGCACGCCGCGGUGAAUACGUUCCCGGGCCUU